GCUCCAGUGGCGCAAUCGGUCAGCGCGCGGUACUUAUAAGACAGUCACCUGUGAAGUGAUGCCGAGGUUGUGAGUUCAAGCCUCACCUGGAGCA
rnacentral:tRNA from 1 species